rnacentral:sRNA from 2 species
CCAUACUUCAUUGGGGAGUAGCCGCUAUUCACAGCAAAUGUGAAUAGGUGAUGGUCAACAUAAUUGUUCAACAGAACAUGGUCAUCAUAGCUUAAACGUCUCAUCGUUCCUGAGUUGGCAAGACCUUUGAUUUACCA